rnacentral:rRNA from 1 species
UGGGGAAUAUUGGACAAUGGGCGCAAGCCUGAUCCAGCCAUGCCGCGUGAGUGAAGAAGGCCUUCGGGUUGUAAAGCUCUUUCGGCGGGGACGAAACGGUCCGGGCUAACACCACGGACUAAUGACGGUACUCGCAGAAGAAGCACCGGCUAACUACGUGCCAGCAGCCGCGGUAAUACGUAGGGUGCAGGCGUUAAUCGGAAUUACUGGGCGUAAAGCGUGCGCAGGCGGCUCCUUAAGUCAGAUGUGAAAGCCCCGGGCUUAACCUGGGAACUGCGUUUGAAACUGGGGAGCUAGAGUGUGGAAGAGGGGGGUGGAAUUCCAGGUGUAGCAGUGAAAUGCGUAGAGAUCUGGAGGAACACCGAUGGCGAAGGCAGCCCCCUGGGCUAACACUGACGCUCAUGCACGAAAGCGUGGGGAGCAAACAGGAUUAGAUACCCUGGUAGUCCACGCCCUAAACGAUGUCAACUAGUUGUCGGGGAAGCAAUUCCUUGGUAACGAAGCUAACGCGUGAAGUUGACCGCCUGGGGAGUACGGCCGCAAGGUUA